AUGGUUCAGUGAGGCUUUCGGACUGGCCCAGGGAGGUCGGCAACGACCACCCAGGGCCGGAAAGUUAUCCAAACUCGAUCAUUUAGAGGAAGUAAAAGUCGUAACAAGGUCUCCGUUGGUGAACCAGCGGAGGGAUCAUUG
rnacentral:rRNA from 2 species